ensembl:lncRNA
AUGACAUCCUCCCUCCAGCGCACUGCCAUGGUACACAGAACGAGCCUCCGUGCGGGAGGAAGGAUACUGGCUGAUUUCGGCUGUGCCUGGUCCAAUCUUGGCUUACCUCAGACGGAGUUCUGGCUGCCUCACUUUCAAUAUGUUGCCGCCUUCCCUGAGAACUCAGAGAGGUCACAUCCACAUCAGGACUUCAGCGCCAGACCCUCCCACUGCCCACCCUUUGCUACCUUUUCUCUCACUUUGUACCGACUCCUCUUGCUAAUUCUCCUUUGUGUGUUUGGAGACCAUCUCUCACCACUUUCACUCAGAUGACCUACUAAACUAUUUUCUCUGCUCAGGUUGUUAAACUAGAAGUUACAGUGGUCUUGAGUCUUGGUUAAGCUUGAUUAAGAUUAAGCUUUAAGUUCAUCAUAGUCUAUGCUGGUUUAAGUGAUGAAUACAGAUGUGCCCCCAGAGUGGCCAAGGGCUGUGCCACGAAAAUAAUAUGCUUUUCAGGAGCGCAUCUUCUCCCCCCUAAAUAUGUGAGGAUGUGUUUGCACCAAAGAUAGAGCAGGGUGUUCAGGGCACAGAUCUGAUGGGGAGGAUCAUGUUCAGGAAAACCACCUUUAGAGCAAACUCGCGAUUCUAUCCAGUUCUCCUUACACCUUGUUUCCUCACAAAAUUAGGCAAAUUCUAAUAGCUAUAGACUUUCGGUAAUUCCUUAGCCUUUCAGAUUUUGCCAUGUAACAGUGUGAUUUCUGCGUUAGCCUGAGUACAGUACUGCAUUCCCUUCUGAGCCUGAGGGGACACCCAUAUGAGUCUUAAAUUUCCAACAAGUGACACUUUGCCUGACUCUACUCUGUUAAAGACUCUUUUGGAAAUCAAUUCUAUAACGUAGUGUAGUACGUUAUAGAAUUCUGGUAAUUAGGAGUUCCCACUGUGGCUCAGCACUAACGAACCCAACUAGUAUCCGUGAGGAUGAGAGUUCAAACCCUGGCCCGGCAUUGCUGUGAGCUGCAGUGUAGGUCAAAGACUGGGUUCGGAUUUGGCAUUGCCAUGGCUAUGGUGUAGACUGGCAGCUGCAGCUCCAAUUCAACCCCUAGCCUGAGAAUUUCCAUAUGCCACAGGUGCAGCCCUAAAAGACAAAAUAAUAAUAAUAAUAAUAAUAAUAAUAAUAAUUCUGGUAACUAUAGAAUACUCAAAGAUAAAAUCCAAAAGCUACUAAAAUCUGCUCAGAGGACGUUAACACACAGAAAAAUCAGAGUGAGUUGUAUUUUUCUUCAAUCUAGCCCAAGGAUGGGCAAGAGGGUGUAGGAAUUUGACAACGUCGAUGCUUGGCCAGAGGAACCCCCCCCCCCGCCCCCCACGGCCAGAAGCCACCUGCUAUGAGAGUUCCCAGGUGCUAUGCAUUUCCUUUAUUUGCCUUUGAGACUCCAACCCUGAGGAGCUCCCAAAGGCUUUUAGAUAAUGAAGACAUUGCUGCAUUCAUCAUUGAUCCCAUUCCCCCAAAACAGCCACAUUUCUAAGUUCAGUGGCAGGGGAAUAAAAAAUUCAUCCCCUUCAUCCCCUUCUGUCAUUCCCAGAAGGAGUGCUAGAGAAAAUAUAACCAACAAGGGGUGACAUUGCUGCACUGAGCGGGUACACCCACAGGUGAAACGGAUUC